AAGGUACACGUACAGAUGGAUCCCGGACCGUGACUAGAGCCCCGGGCUCCUUUGCUGACGAGUGGCGGACGGGUGAGUAAUGUCUGGGAAACUGCCCGAUGGAGGGGGAUAACUACUGGAAACGGUAGCUAAUACCGCAUAACGUCGCAAGACCAAAGAGGGGGACCUUCGGGCCUCUUGCCAUCGGAUGUGCCCAGAUGGGAUUAGCUAGUAGGUGGGGUAAAGGCUCACCUAGGCGACGAUCCCUAGCUGGUCUGAGAGGAUGACCAGCCACACUGGAACUGAGACACGGUCCAGACUCCUACGGGAGGCAGCAGUGGGGAAUAUUGCACAAUGGGCGCAAGCCUGAUGCAGCCAUGCCGCGUGUAUGAAGAAGGCCUUCGGGUUGUAAAGUACUUUCAGCGGGGAGGAAGGGAGUAAAGUUAAUACCUUUGCUCAUUGACGUUACCCGCAGAAGAAGCACCGGCUAACUCCGUGCCAGCAGCCGSGGUAAUACGGAGGGUGCAAGCGUUAAUCGGAAUUACUGGGCGUAAAGCGCACGCAGGCGGUUUGUUAAGUCAGAUGUGAAAUCCCCGGGCUCAACCUGGGAACUGCAUCUGAUACUGGCAAGCUUGAGUCUCGUAGAGGGGGGUAGAAUUCCAGGUGUAGCGGUGAAAUGCGUAGAGAUCUGGAGGAAUACCGGUGGCGAAGGCGGCCCCCUGGACGAAGACUGACGCUCAGGUGCGAAAGCGUGGGGAGCAAACAGGAUUAGAUACCCUGGUAGUCCACGCCGUAAACGAUGUCGACUUGGAGGUUGUGCCCUUGAGGCGUGGCUUCCGGAGCUAACGCGUUAAGUCGACCGCCUGGGGAGUACGGCCGCAAGGUUAAAACUCAAAUGAAUUGACGGGGGCCCGCACAAGCGGUGGAGCAUGUGGUUUAAUUCGAUGCAACGCGAAGAACCUUACCUGGUCUUGACAUCCACGGAAGUUUUCAGAGAUGAGAAUGUGCCUUCGGGAACCGUGAGACAGGUGCUGCAUGGCUGUCGUCAGCUCGUGUUGUGAAAUGUUGGGUUAAGUCCCGCAACGAGCGCAACCCUUAUCCUUUGUUGCCAGCGGUCCGGCCGGGAACUCAAAGGAGACUGCCAGUGAUAAACUGGAGGAAGGUGGGGAUGACGUCAAGUCAUCAUGGCCCUUACGACCAGGGCUACACACGUGCUACAAUGGCGCAUACAAAGAGAAGCGACCUCGCGAGAGCAAGCGGACCUCAUAAAGUGCGUCGUAGUCCGGAUUGGAGUCUGCAACUCGACUCCAUGAAGUCGGAAUCGCUAGUAAUCGUGGAUCAGAAUGCCACGGUGAAUACGUUCCCGGGCCUUGUACACACCGCCCGUCACACCAUGGGAGUGGCUUCAAAAGAAGUCGGUAGCCAAAAAUUCGUAACAAGGUAACCCCAUAGAGUUAACUC
rnacentral:rRNA from 1 species